UACGUAGGUGACCAGCGUUGUCCGGAUUUACUGGGCGUAAAGCGUGCGCAGGCGGCUUUGCAAGACAGAUGUGAAAUCCCCGGGCUUAACCUGGGAACUGCAUUUGUGACUGCAUGGCUGGAGUGCGGCAGAGGGGGAUGGAAUUCCGCGUGUAGCAGUGAAAUGCGUAGAUAUGCGGAGGAACACCGAUGGCGAAGGCAAUCCCCUGGGCCUGCACUGACGCUCAUGCACGAAAGCGUGGGGAGCAAACAGG
rnacentral:rRNA from 1 species